rnacentral:lncRNA from 1 species
GUUUCGGAAUCACGUUGUCCUUUUGCAAAUUCCAUUCAUCUUUAUUUCCUUCACAAACGGCAUCGGGGGCCUACAUAACCGUCGGAAUCUUCACCCCCGCCAUUAUCAUGUAUUUGCCAUGGCUUAAUGCUCAUCUUACAAAGAUCUGGCCUUUUGUUAACGAGUUAUGAAUCCUAAAACAACGCUCCAAACGUUUUUAAAGUUGAUUGAUGACUAUGAUCCUAUAUAAAAAUCGGACUCCGAUAAUUCCUCAAACAAAAGAGGUGUUUUUUAUGGAAGAUGAUAUGGAAAAUAAUUCAUUUACACCAACUUGGGAGAAUGGGGCAGAAUCACCAAUAUUGCUUGAGAAUGUUGUUGGCCAAGGAUCAACUAAGUACAAGAUAAAAUUAAAAUAUGGAGGUUACUUUCGGUUAGCUAAGAACUCAUACAAAAAACGUUAUUGUUUUGGCUU